UGCUGACCUAGGGACAAUUUGUAACUGAAAAUCUUAAGCACUUGCUGCUUUUGUUGAAAUACAUGUGCUUUGGAUUUAUUAGUAUUAUAUAUGUUCAAGUUUAUUCCAGUUAGUAGUUGUAGGGACUGAUGGUGAAAGAUCAGCAAGAAGUUCAAGUACAGAAGCUCAAGCUUCUCAAACAGCUUGUGCAAGAUCUACAUCUGUCUGGGAACAGACUACAAGGGUGGUUUGGAAGGAAGACAUCAGUCUUUGUGCAGUGGACACAAAAAUAACAGCUGUGAUACUAAAYAGGAGGCCUGGAAGAAGCUGAUGUGAAUGAUCAGGGGUGACACAUGGAUAAUCAGCAGAAGAACACAUGCUGAAGACCCCUAACCCUUGUGCAAAUCCUGAAGAUGCAUCCUUGGAAGCAUGCACUUUUUCUGUGAUAGAAAGGGAAAAUGCAGCCUUCUGCUUUACUGGAGUUUGCAAGGACACAGUAUAUUUGCUUAAGAGGGCACUCUACUGGCUACUUUUUGGAAGUUUCUUGCUCCUUCUGCCUGAAAAAGCAGAGGGCAACACUUUUUGGUUUUAUGGUGAUGAGAACAAGCCAUUACAACUGGACCAGGUUGUGACAGGAAAGUGUUCUUGUUGUAUCAAAGGCAGCAAGCAGCUUGCCAAAAAAAGAAAAGUCAACAAAGCUGUUCAGAUUACUUUAUGA
rnacentral:lncRNA from 1 species